rnacentral:rRNA from 1 species
UACGUAGGGUGCGAGCGUUAAUCGGAAUUACUGGGCGUAAAGCGUGCGCAGGCGGUUCGUUAUGUCCGAUGUGAAAGCCCCGAGCUUAACUUGGGAAUGGCAUUGGAAACUGGCGGGCUGAAGUGCGGCAGAGGGGGGUGGAAUUCCACGUGUAGCAGUGAAAUGCGUAGAGAUGUGGAGGAACACCGAUGGCGAAGGCAGCCCCCUGGGCCGACACUGACGCUCAGGCACGAAAGCGUGGGGAGCAAACAGG